rnacentral:piRNA from 1 species
UGACAAGAAGUUCUCCCUCUCUAUACAGGAC